rnacentral:piRNA from 1 species
UGAAAAGCAUGCCUCAUGGGAGUGAAUCCU